rnacentral:rRNA from 1 species
UGGGGAAUUUUCCGCAAUGGGCGAAAGCCUGACGGAGCGACGCCGCGUAUGGGAUGAAGUAUUUAGGUAUGUAAACCAUUGUCAGUGGGGACGAAACAAAUGACGGUACCCACAGAGGAAGCAUCGGCUAACUCUGUGCCAGCAGCCGCGGUAAUACAGAGGUGGCAAGCGUUGUUCGGAAUUACUGGGCGUAAAGGGCGCGUAGGCGGCCUACUAAGUCAGACGUGAAAUCCCCCGGCUUAACCUGGGAACUGCGUCUGAUACUGGAAGGCUUGAGUAUGGGAGAGGGAUGUAGAAUUCCAGGUGUAGCGGUGAAAUGCGUAGAUAUCUGGAGGAAUACCGGUGGCGAAGGCGGCAUCCUGGACCAUUACUGACGCUGAGGCGCGAAAGCUAGGGGAGCAAACGGGAUUAGAGACCCCUGUAGUCCCUGAGCGGGCUGGCAAGGCGCAU